rnacentral:rRNA from 1 species
AUUGAACGCCGGCGGCAGGCCAAACACAUGCAAGUCGAGCGAGCGGCGGACGGUCGAGUAAUGUCUGGGAAACUGCCUGAUGGAGGGGGAUAACUACUGGAAACGGUAGCUAAUACCGCAUACCAUCAGAUGUGCCCAGGUGGGAUUAGCCAGUAGGUGGGGUAACGGCGCACCUAGGCGACGAUUCCUAGCUGGUCUGAGAGGAUGACCGGCCACGCUGGAACUGAGACACUGUCCAGACUCCUGCGCGAGGCAGCGGUGGGGAAUAUUGCCCAAUGGGCGCAAGCCUGAUGCAGCCAGGCCGCGUGGAUGAUGAAGGCCUUCGGGUUGUAAAGUACUUUCAGCGGGGGGGCGUUACCCGCAGAAGAAGCACCGGCUAACUCCGUGCCAGCCGCCGCGGUAAUUC